rnacentral:ncRNA from 1 species
AGCGACAAUCCUACCACUUAGAGUUGUCGGAUCACUAAGACCGACUUUCGUCCUUGUUUAAGUAGUUACUCUCACAAUCAAGCCUUUUACGCAACAGUGUUUUAAAAGAUAAUUAUUGUCUAAAAAAAAACUCAUAUCUAAUUAGCUAGUUGGUGAAGUAAUAGUUUUACCAAGGCGAAGAUUAGUAGCUGCCUUGAGAGGGGAAACAGCCACAUAGAGAUUGAAAUACAGCUCGGCUUAUCACACAGUAGG